rnacentral:rRNA from 1 species
CGAAUUAGAGCUUGCUCUUAAGAAGUUAGCGGCGGACGGGUGAGUAACACGUAGGUAACCUGCCUAUAAGACUGGGAUAACUCCGGGAAACCGGGGCUAAUACCGGAUAACAUUUUGCACCGCAUGGUGCGAAAUUGAAAGGCGGCUUCGGCUGUCACUUAUAGAUGGACCUGCGGCGCAUUAGCUAGUUGGUGAGGUAACGGCUCACCAAGGCGACGAUGCGUAGCCGACCUGAGAGGGUGAUCGGCCACACUGGGACUGAGACACGGCCCAGACUCCUACGGGAGGCAGCAGUGGUCAUAGCUUGUUUCCUGA